AGCGAACGCUGGCGGCGUGCUUAACACAUGCAAGUCGAGCGAUGAAGUUCCUUCGGGAAUGGAUUAGCGGCGGACGGGUGAGUAACACGUGGGUAACCUGCCUCAUAGAGGGGAAUAGCCUUUCGAAAGGAAGAUUAAUACCGCAUAAGAUUGUAGUACCGCAUGGUACAGCAAUUAAAGGAGUAAUCCGCUAUGAGAUGGACCCGCGUCGCAUUAGCUAGUUGGUGAGGUAACGGCUCACCAAGGCGACGAUGCGUAGCCGACCUGAGAGGGUGAUCGGCCACAUUGGGACUGAGACACGGCCCAGACUCCUACGGGAGGCAGCAGUGGGGAAUAUUGCACAAUGGGGGAAACCCUGAUGCAGCAACGCCGCGUGAGUGAUGACGGUCUUCGGAUUGUAAAGCUCUGUCUUCAGGGACGAUAAUGACGGUACCUGAGGAGGAAGCCACGGCUAACUACGUGCCAGCCGCCGCCGUAACAC
rnacentral:rRNA from 1 species